rnacentral:rRNA from 1 species
GCGGACGGGUGAGUAACGCGUGAACAAUCUGCCCUGUACAAAGGAAUAGCCUCGGGAAACCGGGAUUAAAACCGUAUGACACUUUAAUACCGCAUGGUAUAGAGGUCAAAUAUUAAUAGGUAUGGGAUGAGUUCGCGUCUGAUUAGCUGGUUGGUAAGGUAACGGCUUACCAAGGCGACGAUCAGUAGCCGGCCUGAGAGGGUGAACGGCCACACUGGAACUGAGACACGGUCCAGACUCCUACGGGAGGCAGCAGUGGGGAAUAUUGCACAAUGGAGGGAACUCUGAUGCAGCGACGCCGCGUGAGUGAAGAAGGUCUUCGGAUCGUAAAACUCUGUCCUUGGUGAAGAAAAGGACGGUAGCCAAGGAGGAAGCCCCGGCUAACUACGUGCCAGCAGCCGCGGUAAUACGUAGGGGGCGAGCGUUGUCCGGAUUUACUGGGCGUAAAGGGUGAGUAGGCGGUUAUAUAUGUCAGGUGUAAAAGGCUAUGGCUUAACCAUGGUUAGCACUUGAAACUGUAUGACUUGAGUGCAGGAGAGGUAAGCGGAAUUCCUAGUGUAGCGGUGAAAUGCGUAGAUAUUAGGAGGAACACCAGUGGCGAGGGCGGCUUACUGGACUGUAACUGACGCUGAGUCACGAAAGCGUGGGUAGCAAACAGGAUUAGAUACCCUGGUAGUCCACGCUGUAAACGAUGAGUGCUAGGUGUUGGGUAGCGAUACUCAGUGCCGGAGUCAACACAAUAAGCACUCCGCCUGGGGAGUACGUACGCAAGUAUGAAACUCAAAGGAAUUGACGGGGACCCGCACAAGCAGCGGAGCAUGUGGUUUAAUUCGAAGCAACACGAAGAACCUUACCAAGGCUUGACAUCCCCUUGACAGGUACAGAGAUGUACAAUCAUUUUCGAAUGCAAGGGAGACAGGUGGUGCAUGGUUGUCGUCAGCUCGUGUCGUGAGAUGUUGGGUUAAGUCCCGCAACGAGCGCAACCCUUAUCCUUAGUUGCCAUCAAGUAAAGUUGGGCACUCUAAGGAGACUGCCGGUGAUAAACCGGAGGAAGGUGGGGAUGACGUCAAAUCAUCAUGCCCCUUAUGUCUUGGGCUACACACGUGCUACAAUGGUCGGUACAACGGGAAGCGAAGAAGUGAUUUGGAGCAAAUCCCAAUAAACCGAUCCCAGUUCGGAUUGCAGGCUGCAACUCGCCUGCAUGAAGUCGGAGUUGCUAGUAAUCGCGAAUCAGAACGUCGCGGUGAAUGCGUUCCCGGGUC